rnacentral:rRNA from 1 species
UACGUAGGGGGCAAGCGUUGUCCGGAAUCAUUGGGCGUAAAGCGCGUGUAGGCGGUUCAGUAAGUCUGCUGUGAAAGUCCAGGGCUCAACCCUGGGAUGCCGGUGGAUACUGCUGGGCUAGAGUACGGAAGAGGCGAGUGGAAUUCCCGGUGUAGCGGUGAAAUGCGCAGAUAUCAGGAGGAACACCGGUGGCGAAGGCGGUUGCCUGGGGCUUUGCUGACGCUGAUGCGCGAAAGCGUGGGGAGCGAUCCGG